rnacentral:rRNA from 1 species
UGGGGAAUAUUGCACAAUGGGGGAAACCCUGAUGCAGCGACGCCGCGUGAGCGAAGAAGGUUUUCGAAUCGUAAAGCUCUGUCCUAUGAGAAGAUAAUGACGGUAUCAUAGGAGGAAGCCCCGGCUAAAUACGUGCCAGCAGCCGCGGUAAUACGUAUGGGGCGAGCGUUGUCCGGAAUUAUUGGGCGUAAAGGGUACGUAGGCGGUCUAUUAAGUCAGGUGUGAAAGCGUGAGGCUUAACCUCUUUAAGCACUUGAAACUGAUAGACUUGAGUGAAGGAGAGGAAAGUGGAAUUCCUAGUGUAGCGGUGAAAUGCGUAGAUAUUAGGAGGAAUACCGGUGGCGAAGGCGACUUUCUGGACUUUUACUGACGCUCAGGUACGAAAGCGUGGGGAGCAAACAGG